rnacentral:rRNA from 1 species
AUCAACUUUCGAUGGUAGGAUAGAGGCCUACCAUGGUGGUAACGGGUAACGGGGUGUUAGGGCACGACACCGGAGAGGGAGCCUGAGAAACGGCUACCACAUCCAAGGAUGGCAGCAGGCGCGCAAAUUACCCAAUCCCGACACGGGGAGGUAGUGACAAUAAAUAACAAUACAGGGUUCUUUCGGAUCUUGUAAUUGGAAUGAGUACAAUUUAAAUCUCUUAACGAGGAACAAUUGGAGGGCAAGUCUGGUGCCAGCAGCCGCGGUAAUUCCAGCUCCAAUAGCGUAUAUUAAAGUUGUUGCAGUUAAAAAGCUCGUAGUUGAAUUUCGGGAUCAAGGCGUCGGUCGUGCUUCGGUACGUACUGGCGUCAUUGAUUUCUCCCUUCUGACGAACCGUGAUGUCAUUAACUUGGUGUUACGGGAAAUCAGGACUGUUACUUUGAAAAAAUUAGAGUGUUUAAAGCAGGCUCAAGCUUGAAUACAUUAGCAUGGAAUAAUGAAAUAGGACGUUUGACCCUAUUUUGUUGGUUUCUAGGAUCGACGUAAUGAUUAAUAGGGAUAGUUGGGGGCAUUAGUAUUCAAUUAUCAGAGGUGAAAUUCUUGGAUUUAUUGAAGACUAACUACUGCGAAAGCAUUGGCCAAGGAUGUUUUCAUUAAUCAAGAACGAAAGUUAGGGGAUCGAAGACGAUCAGAUACCGUCGUAGUCUUAACCAUAAACUAUGCCGACUAGGGAUCGGAUGAUGUUAAUUUUUUUAAUGACUCAUUCGGCGCCUUACGGGAAACCAAAGUGUUUGGGUUC